AACAUAAGCGGAGGAAAAGAAACCAACAGGGAUUGCCCCAGUAACGGCGAGUGAAGCGGCAACAGCUCAAAUUUGAAAUCUGGCCCCCAGGGCCCGAGUUGUAAUUUGCAGAGGAUGCUUUUGGCGCGGUGCCUUCCGAGUUCCCUGGAACGGGACGCCAUAGAGGGUGAGAGCCCCGUCUGGUCGGACACCAAGCCAGUGUAAAGCUCCUUCGACGAGUCGAGUAGUUUGGGAAUGCUGCUCUAAAUGGGAGGUAUAUGUCUUCUAAAGCUAAAUACCGGCCAGAGACCGAUAGCGCACAAGUAGAGUGAUCGAAAGAUGAAAAGCACUUUGAAAAGAGGGUUAAACAGUACGUGAAAUUGUUGAAAGGGAAGCGUUUAUGACCAGACUUGGGCCCGGUGAAUCAUCCAGCGUUCUCGCUGGUGCACUUUGCCGGGCUCAGGCCAGCAUCAGUUCGCCGCGGGGGAUAAAGGCUUCGGGAACGUGGCUCCCUCGGGAGUGUUAUAGCCCGUUGCGUAAUACCCUGUGGCGGACUGAGGUUCGCGCUCCGCAAGGAUGCUGGCGUAAUGGUCAUCAGCGACCCGUCUUGAAACACGGACCAAGGAGUCGUCUUCGUAUGCGAGUGUUCGGGUGUCAAACCCCUACGCGUAAUGAAAGUGAACGCAGGUGAGAGCUUCGGCGCAUCAUCGACCGAUCCUGAUGUUCUCGGAUGGAUUUGAGUAAGAGCAUACGGGGCCGGACCCGAAAGAAGGUGAACUAUGCCUGUAUAGGGUGAAGCCAGAGGAAACUCUGGUGGAGGCUCGCAGCGGUUCUGACGUGCAAAUCGAUCGUCAAAUAUGGGCAUGGGGGCGAAAGACUAAUCGAACCUUCUAGUAGCUGGUUCC
rnacentral:rRNA from 1 species